GAGCUUGUUCCUUUGAGGUUCCGGGCGGACGGGUGAGUAACACGUGGGUAACCUACCUAUAAGACUGGGAUAACUUCGGGAAACCGGAGCUAAUACCGGAUAACAUUUAGAACCGCAUGGUUCUAAAGUGAAAGAUGGUUUUGCUAUCACUUAUAGAUGGACCCGCGCCGUAUUAGCUAGUUGGUAAGGUAACGGCUUACCAAGGCGACGAUACGUAGCCGACCUGAGAGGGUGAUCGGCCACACUGGAACUGAGACACGGUCCAGACUCCUACGGGAGGCAGCAGUAGGGAAUCUUCCGCAAUGGGCGAAAGCCUGACGGAGCAACGCCGCGUGAGUGAUGAAGGGUUUCGGCUCGUAAAACUCUGUUAUUAGGGAAGAACAAAUGUGUAAGUAACUGUGCACAUCUUGACGGUACCUAAUCAGAAAGCCACGGCUAACUACGUGCCAGCAGCCGCGGUAAUACGUAGGUGGCAAGCGUUAUCCGGAAUUAUUGGGCGUAAAGCGCGCGUAGGCGGUUUCUUAAGUCUGAUGUGAAAGCCCACGGCUCAACCGUGGAGGGUCAUUGGAAACUGGGAAACUUGAGUGCAGAAGAGGAAAGUGGAAUUCCAUGUGUAGCGGUGAAAUGCGCAGAGAUAUGGAGGAACACCAGUGGCGAAGGCGACUUUCUGGUCUGUAACUGACGCUGAUGUGCGAAAGCGUGGGGAUCAAACAGGAUUAGAUACCCUGGUAGUCCACGCCGUAAACGAUGAGUGCUAAGUGUUAGGGGGUUUCCGCCCCUUAGUGCUGCAGCUAACGCAUUAAGCACUCCGCCUGGGGAGUACGACCGCAAGGUUGAAACUCAAAGGAAUUGACGGGGACCCGCACAAGCGGUGGAGCAUGUGGUUUAAUUCGAAGCAACGCGAAGAACCUUACCAAAUCUUGACAUCCUUUGAAAACUCUAGAGAUAGAGCCUUCCCCUUCGGGGGACAAAGUGACAGGUGGUGCAUGGUUGUCGUCAGCUCGUGUCGUGAAAUGUUUGGGUUAAGUCCCGCAACGAGCGCAACCCUUAAGCUUAGUUGCCAUCAUUAAGUUGGGCACUCUAGGUUGACUGCCGUGAAAACCGGAGGAAAAGGUGGGGGAUGACGUCAAAUCAUCAUGCCCCUUAUGAUUUGGGCUACCCCCGUGC
rnacentral:rRNA from 1 species